GAGAAACGAGACCCAGCACUGGAAGUCUCAGUGCUCCAUUCGGUGAUCAGCACUGAACACAGAGGACUCACCAUGAAGUUUGGGCCGAGCUGGGUUUUCCUUGUUGCUAUUUUAAGAGGUGUCCAGUGUGAGGUGCAGCUGGUGGAGUCUGGGGGAGGCUUGGUCCAGCCCGGGGGGUCCCUGAGACUCUCCUGUGCAGCCUCUGGAUUCACCUUCAGUGACUAUGGCAUGGACUGGGUCCGCCAGGCUCCAGGGAAGGGGCUGGAGUGGGUGGCAGUUAUAUGGUAUGACGGAAGUCAGAAAUACUAUGCAGACUCCGUGAAGGGCCGAGUCACCAUCUCCAGAGACAAUUCCAAGAACAUGCUCUAUCUUCAAAUGAACAGCCUGAGAGCCGAGGACACGGCCAUGUAUUACUGUGCGAGACACAGUGAGGGGAAGUCAGUGUGAGCCCGGACACAAACCUCCCUGCAGGGGCACUGCAGGGAAAUGAGCUGCAGGGGGCGCUCAGGAGCCACUGACCAGAGUCAACUGCAAAGGCAGGAGCAGAUGGAGGCUGAUUUCCCAUCA